UGAAGGGUUUGAUCCUGGCUCAGAGUGAACGUUGGCGGCGUGGAUUAGGCAUGCAAGUCGUGCGACGAGGCCCGCAAGGGUGCUCGAGCGGCGAAAGGGAGAGUAAUGCAUGGGUAACCUGCC
rnacentral:rRNA from 1 species